CCUAACACAUGCAAGUCGAACGGUAACAGGAAGAAGCUUGCUUCUUUGCUGACGAGUGGCGGACGGGUGAGUAAUGUCUGGGAAACUGCCUGAUGGAGGGGGAUAACUACUGGAAACGGUAGCUAAUACCGCAUAACGUCGCAAGACCAAAGAGGGGGACCUUCGGGCCUCUUGCCAUCGGAUGUGCCCAGAUGGGAUUAGCUAGUAGGUGGGGUAACGGCUCACCUAGGCGACGAUCCCUAGCUGGUCUGAGAGGAUGACCAGCCACACUGGAACUGAGACACGGUCCAGACUCCUACGGGAGGCAGCAGUGGGGAAUAUUGCACAAUGGGCGCAAGCCUGAUGCAGCCAUGCCGCGUGUAUGAAGAAGGCCUUCGGGUUGUAAAGAAGUUUCA
rnacentral:rRNA from 1 species